rnacentral:rRNA from 1 species
CUCGUAGGCGGUUUGUCGCGUCGUCUGUGAAAUUCUGCAACUCAAUUGCAGGCGUGCAGGCGAUACGGGCAGACUUGAGUACUACAGGGGAGACUGGAAUUCCUGGUGUAGCGGUGAAAUGCGUAGAUAUAGGAAGGAACACCAGUGGCGAAGGCGACCACCUGGACUGAUACUGACACUGAGGUGCGAAAGCGUGGGGAGCAAACA